AGUGAACGCUGGCGGUAGGCCUAACACAUGCAAGUCGAACGGCAGCACAGUAAGAGCUUGCUCUUACGGGUGGCGAGUGGCGGACGGGUGAGGAAUACAUCGGAAUCUACUUUUUCGUGGGGGAUAACGUAGGGAAACUUACGCUAAUACCGCAUACGACCUACGGGUGAAAGCAGGGGAUCUUCGGACCUUGCGCGAUUGAAUGAGCCGAUGUCGGAUUAGCUAGUUGGCGGGGUAAAGGCCCACCAAGGCGACGAUCCGUAGCUGGUCUGAGAGGAUGAUCAGCCACACUGGAACUGAGACACGGUCCAGACUCCUACGGGAGGCAGCAGUGGGGAAUAUUGGACAAUGGGCGCAAGCCUGAUCCAGCCAGACCGCGUGGGUGAAGAAGGCCUUCGGGUUGUAAAGCCCUUUUGUUGGGAAAGAAAAGCAGCAGGUUAAUACCCCGCUGUUCGGACGGUACCCAAAGAAUAAGCACCGGCUAACUUCGU
rnacentral:rRNA from 1 species